rnacentral:rRNA from 1 species
AUUGAACGCUGGCGGCAUGCCUUACACAUGCAAGUCGAACGGCAGCACGGGUGCUUGCACCUGGUGGCGAGUGGCGAACGGGUGAGUAAUACAUCGGAACAUGUCCUGUAGUGGGGGAUAGCCCGGCGAAAGCCGGAUUAAUACCGCAUACGAUCUACGGAUGAAAGCGGGGGACCUUCGGGCCUCGCGCUAUAGGGUUGGCCGAUGGCUGAUUAGCUAGUUGGUGGGGUAAAGGCCUACCAAGGCGACGAUCAGUAGCUGGUCUGAGAGGACGACCAGCCACACUGGGACUGAGACACGGCCCAGACUCCUACGGGAGGCAGCAGUGGGGAAUUUUGGUCAAUGGGCGAAAGCCUGAUCCAGCAAUGCCGCGUGUGUGAAGAAGGCCUUCGGGUUGUAAAGCACUUUUGUCCGGAAAGAAAUCCUUGGCCCUAAUACGGUCGGGGGAUGAAGGUACCGGAAGAAUAAGCACCGGCCAACUACGU